rnacentral:rRNA from 2 species
UUAAAUUGAAGAGUUUGAUCAUGGCUCAGAUUGAACGCUGGCGGCAGGCCUAACACAUGCAAGUCGAACGGUAACAGGAAGCAGCUUGCUGCUUCGCUGACGAGUGGCGGACGGGUGAGUAAUGUCUGGGAAACUGCCUGAUGGAGGGGGAUAACUACUGGAAACGGUAGCUAAUACCGCAUAACGUCGCAAGACCAAAGAGGGGGACCUUCGGGCCUCUUGCCAUCGGAUGUGCCCAGAUG